AAUAUGAACUCUGUUCCCUUGCAAUACUAUUUCCAUAACUAAAUGCUAAUAUCAUCAUAUAGUUCCAUCAAAAACAGGUUGCACAAUGUCUGACAUGCCAGAAAGAGGGAAAGGAAUUAAAUAUGAAAAGCAUAAAGUUUAACCUGUAUCUUUGUGAAAGACUGAGAAUAGAACGUAGCUUCACCAGCCCAUACCACCCACAACCAAUGGCUUGGCUGAAAAUGCUAAUAAAUCCAUAAAAAGGUAAGUGAAUGGGUCGGAAUAUUACAGUACUAAUGGCAAGUAGAGUGUGCUAUGCAAGAAGAUGCAAUUCACAAAAAAAAUCUUCAAAAGCAAUGUGUUACAUGGAAAGUCUUUUUCAUUAUGUAUUACAUCUUUUUGAUUAUGUCUGAUCUGUUUCAGUCAAGACCGUACGUGUGACUUUCUUUUUUUAAACAAACAAAUCAAUGAGCAUUUGUUACAGAGCAUUGCGGAAGAUGGUUGAUGACAAUGGGAGUAAUUGGGAUCAAUUACAUUACCCCAUUUUGUUUUCUUUGCCAACUAAAGUACACACAACAACAAAAAUGUCACCCUUUCGACUAAUAUUUCGUGCUGACCCAGUGUUUCCAGAAGAAGUCUCAGAGAAUUACAUGGUAAGUGUAUGUUAUUACCAGCACCUUUCAUGUACACAUGGCAUUCAGUGUGUCUUCACUUUACAAAUACAACCCCUUCUCCAUUUGUUUACAAAGAUCCCAGAUAUAAAUAUAUUUGGGGAAGAUUUCUGCAAAAAGUACAGCAUCAAUAUGAAAUGGAGACAUGAUGCUGACAUUGUACUGGCCCUAAGCACAAGAAAAACAACAAAGACAUUAUGCUAAAAGAAAUAAUUCUAAAUAUGGUCAAAUAACAUUUGAUGUUGGGGACUCUGUUCUGUUACUGAAUGCUAGAAAGAGAACAAGAAAAGGAGGAGUGCUGGAACCUAGCUACGACUGUUGAGGGUAAGAGUGAAAUUACAAACCAUCUCAGGGAAAUGGUUAGGAACCAUGUACAGUACCACACACUUAAAACCAUUUAAAGAGUCACUAACAUUAGCUGCUGAAAGUACAUCAGAGGGAAAAAUCGGAACUGAAAUUGCAGUUGGUGACACUGAGCCAGAAACACCCACAGAAGAGAUUAGAAAAGUGGAUGGCACUGUAUCUCACAACAGCACAGUAAAAAACAAAGAGGUCACAGCAAUGGAAGAAGAGGAGUAUAUAGGGCAAAACAAUGAUACAAGUGAUGCUGAUGACAAUUUUGAUGACAUGCUUAUGGAAGACAAGCAAUGGAUUCAGAAAGGUAAUUGGUUACUGCACCUUUCUUAAACAGAUUAGCAUACUUUAUAAAUGGAACUAUGUUAAAGAUUUUCAUGAACAAGGUGGCGGCAUUCACAGUAGUAAAACAGAGAAAAAGGAAACUGUAUUACUAUGCAUGUAAUAUGUGUUAAUAUUUUUUCCUAGUCAAAUUUGUAAUGACCGGCAAACACACAGAGAGACUGGAGGCCAAAGUGAGAAACAUAAAAUUGUAUGGCUCUUCAUUUCAUUGCCUGAAGCCGAGAAGCUGGAUAAGUGAUGAGGUUAUUGAUGCAUAUUUGAGCUGCGAGGUCAAGAAAGCAGAUGGAAAGCGUGGAGGACUACUGCAUAGACUGCAACUUUGUCAACUGUGAAAAGGAAAGUGAGGAUUGCAUGAUGUUGUUACUUAUCAAAGAUCCAGUGUGAUUCUUGCAAGAGGUGGGCACAUAUGCCCUGCAUUACAGAAGAAACCAAUCAAGAAAACCUGACUGAUGAGAAGAAAGAGUACAACUGCAAAAAAUGUGCAUAGUUCACUUCUUUACCAAAAAAACAAAACAAAACAUUGUUUAAAUGCCUCUUGCUCAAAACAUAAUGCAACCAAAAGAAUUUUUUGAUUUAUA